rnacentral:rRNA from 1 species
GUCUAUGGCCAUACCACCCUGAACGUGCCUGAUCUCAUCUGAUCUUGGAAGCUAAGCAGGAUCAGGCCUGGUUAAUACUUGGAUAGGAAGAAAUAUUUU